rnacentral:miRNA from 1 species
AGGUAGUUUGUUGUGUUA